AUUAAACGCUGGCGGCAUGCUUUACACAUGCAAGUCGAACGGUAACAGGCCGCAAGGUGCUGACGAGUGGCGAACGGGUGAGUAAUGCAUCGGAACGUGCCCAGUCGUGGGGGAUAACUACUCGAAAGAGUAGCUAAUACCGCAUACGAUCUAUGGAUGAAAGCGGGGGACCGUAAGGCCUCGCGCGAUUGGAGCGGCCGAUGUCAGAUUAGGUAGUUGGUGGGGUAAAGGCUCACCAAGCCAACGAUCUGUAGCUGGUCUGAGAGGACGACCAGCCACACUGGGACUGAGACACGGCCCAGACUCCUACGGGAGGCAGCAGUGGGGAAUUUUGGACAAUGGGCGCAAGCCUGAUCCAGCAAUGCCGCGUGCAGGAAGAAGGCCUUCGGGUUGUAAACUGCUUUUGUACGGAACGAAACGGCUCUGGUUAAUACCCGGGGCUAAUGACGGUACCGUAAGAAUAAGCACCGGCUAACUACGUG
rnacentral:rRNA from 1 species